rnacentral:rRNA from 1 species
ACACGUAGGGGCCUGACGUUGUUCGGAAUCAUUGGGCGUAAAGGGCGCGCAGGCGGCCGUCCAAGUCCGGUGUUAAAUGGUCGGGCUCAACCCGAUCAUGCGCUGGAAACUGGGCGGCUGGAGUCCCGGAGGGGAUGCCGGAAUUCCAGGUGUAGGGGUGAAAUCUGUAGAUAUCUGGAAGAACACCGAUGGCGAAGGCAGGCAUCUGGCCGGAGAGUGACGCUGAGGCGCGAAGGCGCGGGGAGCGAACAUGUUUAGAUGCCCUGGUAGUCCGCGCAGUAAACGAUGCGCACCAGGUGUCGGGCGGCAGCGCCCGGUACCGGAGCAAACGCGAUGAGUGCGCCGCCUGGGGAGUAUGCUCGCAAGGGUGAAACUCAAAGGAAUUGACGGGG